GUAAAUGAGGAUGUGUGCCUCAUGGUAAAUGUGCUACAUUAUAACACCUUGAAGAGGAGAGUGAUAAUUCUGCUGGGGCAGACAUCCAGGACGGAGAAACUCUUUGGAGAGAAGGUAAUGCUUGAGCUGAAUUUUGAAAGAUGAGUAGGUGUUUGUUUGCUAGGCAAACAAAGAUGGAAAGAGUGCUCCUGGCAGAAGAAUCAGUGAAUGCAAAGGCCAGGAAGCAUGAAAUAUCCUGGCAUUUUUGAGGAACUGCAAGUCAUGCAGUUUUGUAUAGUUUGAGGUUGAGAAGAGUGGGUGGAUGAGUGGGUAGAAGGAAAUGAGAAGCUAGACGAGAAACGCAUCUGAAAAGGUAGGCUGGGGACUGUGUACUGAUUUCUUCUAUGCUCUGAGGAGGAGAUUGGGCUUGGUCCCAUAGGCAAGUGAGAGUCUUUAAAGGGGUAAAUAAGGGAGCUUUUGAUUAGGUUUGAUUUUUUUAGCAGCAUGGAGGAUGGAUUGGGAAGAGGGCAAGACAGGAGAUAAGUCAGAUUUUUUAAAAAAAAUUAGUAACUUGAUUUGUAUAAAAAAUUGUUAUUAAAUUAAUAAUUUAUUACAACAAUUCAUUUAAUAUUUUUUCUUUUGUUACAUUUAUAUAAUGGUAAUUAAAAUCAGAGAAACUUAUUUUUGUCUACAUGUGGUAUUAUUAUAUAGAAAAUGUCCAAUUUCUGUCAUAAUUUUUAGAGAAUUUGUGCAGCUGCAUGUUGAGACCUGCCAGCCAGAUGGUCCCUUUGACAUUUUGUGAGCUUGUGACUAAAACCCACAGGAAGCUCUUUUUCCCUUCACUGAUGUUGGAGAGUAGUCCAGUUAAGAUAGCAUCUAUGUUGAUAUUAUCAACUACAGCCUUAGUUAGUUCUCAGUGAGUCAGGUGUGCUUAGAAGUUGCAGCAACCAAACUCCACCCAAAGCUGGUGGGUUUAGGUGUGAGUCAUAUGAACACCAUGUAGAGAUACGUGUAUUGUAUAAUGAAGACAUCACUAAAAAUGAGAGAGAAAACUGACUCAAGGUCAGUGUGUCCUUGGAAGGCCAACAGCAUAUUACUGUUACUGCAACUACUCAUAUUUUUAUAGAAUUUUCUAGGUCACAAGUUAUCUUUCCAAAUACUUGGUAAUCCCCAUAGUAUGGAAAAUGUCCACAAGAUAGUUAUUUUCUUUCGUCGUAUGUGAUUCUGUAACACCAGAUACUUUACACUUUAGUGAAUGUCAAGUGACAGAACAAGAUCAAUGAAAACAAAAUCUGGUCCUAGAACACAGCCAAUACUCAAUGUUUAAAAUUCUCACAUGCUGGAUGAAGCAUACGUGAAAAGUGGAAUAUAGCAGAAUAUCUGAGUACCUCUUUUCUUUGAAGUUCAGUUGGCAAAGUUUCAGGAAAGGCAGGGAAAACACUGGUAGAAUUCCGAGUUGCACAGUCCUAAACCACCACAACUCUAGAUAAAUUAGAAGCAACUAUGGCUGAAAAAUCAGGCAAGGGAUGUCAGGUUUGAGUCAGCUUUAUUGGCAGAAAGCGCCACCCCUCAGUCUAGAAUGCAACUUCUUCAGGCGUGGUUGAGACAUUCACCAAAAUAGGAUCAAUUUUAAUUGUCCUCAGGAUGGAAAGGACCAUCCUGUCAGUUCAACAUCAUCAUCUUCCAUCUUUCUCCUACACAAAGAUUUGGUUCUUCUUUAACACUCAAGAAAAAUGUCAUUGUUUCCUUGAAGCCUGGAUUCCAGUCUAAUGAGAAGAGAUAGUUUCUCCUUUCUUGUGAUAGGCACUUCUAAAUGUUAAAUGAGUACAGCAGUAGUAUCCUGAAAAAGAUAAACACACUUAUCUGCUCAGAUGUCUUUAUAUUCUUACACAUUUAGGACACUUUAAUCUGAAGACAGAGUUAAUUUGAAAUAUCUUAAACUUUCUUUUUCUCUUUCUGGUUCCAUUUCAGUUCAGUUUCUCCUUUAAAUACUUCUCUUUCUUCUAAGUACUGUCACCAGACAGUUAUCAUAUUCAGAUGCUUUAGUGAGGAUUUUUAUUUUCAUUUGCAUUCUCUGGUCAAUUUUGAGAUGGGUGUCUGCUUUGCCAUGAUUAGUAUGGAAAGGAAGCAGCUGUGAGUAGGGAAGUGCUAGCAAUGAGGAUUUUUGCUUUUUAUUUUUUUGCUGUUGGUAGAAAUUGUCUAAAUAACAGGUGUCUAUCCUCAUAAGUGUGAGAACAUGUUAUUUUUAUCACUAUGAGGGCCAGAUCCAGCCUCUAGGUACUCAUCUGAACUCAGAGAGAAGUCAGCUGUACUUAGAGCCCUGAGAGUAGAUUUCACGUAUGUAUUUCUGUGUUUUGCCCUUCAAUUGCUUCCAUAUGUAAAAAUUCUAUUCCUUAAGCAUUUCUACCAACCUUUGCCACAGAUCUCAUGAAUAUAAACAUACCAUUGGCUUUGACAUAAUACCAAACUUCCCUUCAAAAUGAAAACAGACUAUUGGCAUUUAGCACCUACAGUUCUAAGUAACAGAUGAGGUAAGCCCAGCCAUUCUGAAAAACACAAACCCUCUGUCACUCUUCUCCUACCCAGCCCUGAAAAUGCCUGAUGCUGGGCUGAAACACUUGCACAUUCCAAAGAUACAUAAGAAGUAUUUUAUGCUAGUGGCAAUGCACUAGUUGCAACAUGCAAGAUAUUAAAACCCUUUCUUAUUCAUUAUUUUAAUAUAAAGUGACUGAUUAUGUGGAAUGGGAAAUCCUAGUGUGUGAAUGCACAGGAAAGCACAGAGCCGUGCUCCAUGCAUGACUCUGCUUGACACAUUCAGAGAUCAGAUGGCAUAGCAAAUUGCUCUCCUUCCAAUCAUUUAGGUCAUAGCCCUCACUCGCUGUGAGUACAUAGCCUUUUAAUUUAGCAGUGCAGUUUCUCUACCUAAAACAGCAUGAGCCAAGCAAAGUCUGACUAUAAGAAAAACACAAUGUACUGAUUGCUACAGUCCCUUUGGCAUGUUUUGCUGAGCCAUACUGUAAAAGGAAAAAGGAAUAUGACUACUAGGUGCCACUGGGCAAGUAUAGAGACAGAAUUCAAAAGAGAUAUAAUGAUGAUUCCCAACUUAUUGAAGAUGGAAUGGAUGGAUGUAUAUUUCAUAAUCUUUGGUACCUAAUUCCAGGAGAGAUUACAUUUUUCAUUUAGAUUUAAAUUCCUUGCUGCCAAUAGCAAGUUUUGGCAUACUUAAAAGCAUGUUUAACUAGCAUGUUUGGCAUGUUUAAAAGCAUGUUUGGCAUGCUUAACAGUGCUAUGCUCAUUGUAGGCAUUCAAUAAAUGUUUUACUUGGUUUGAAAGCUUUAUCUAAAAAUUAGUUCUCUAGCUAAUAUAUCUUCUAUUGACAGUAGUUACCGAGAACAGAAGUGGUGUCUUUGUGUCAUCUGUUUUAUCAAAAUGCUUUAUGCAUCAUAGUCUCUUAAAUAUUUUUGAAUUGAAUUUUAUUGUAUUAAAAUUAAAGAAGUUUUUGUUUCCAACAAACUUAGAUUAACAAGGGGCUUUCAUAUGCAUCUAGUUUUUAUUUAUUUUUUAGUGUUUUCACAAAUAUGUAAAUUGUGCUGCUUAGUUGGGAUUUGAUUUGUCUCUAUCCCUCAACCACCCCAAUCCCAAUAUAAAACAAUAUUUUGCUCUACCACAAAAACAGAGCCUGAAUUUUUCAUUUUUUUCCAUCCCAAUUACUGUUAGCCUAGUCUGAGCCACUUGGACACUCUCCUUGAGGAUUGUAAGCCUCCCCACUGGCUCCGGUCCUACACUCCUGUCCCCCAGCCCUUGAUCUCAGACACUGUGGCUGGAAGCAUCUGAAAAAGAAAAAGAACAAAAAUACAAUUUCAUUCUCCAGUCUGACAUCCUCCACUGACUUCUGCUUUGACACAGAAUCAGGUCUGAGGUCCUUACUGGGGCCCAUGAGGAACUCUGUCUUUGGCCCCUCCUUGUUCACCUCCCUCUGCCACUGUCCUGCUGCCCCAUCAUCUUCAUUCUGUUUUUUCAAGGGUCUGUGUUUGGUCUUCCUUCUUCAGGACCUUGGAAUUUGCUCUUCCUUCUGCCUGAUGUGCUCCUCCUUCACAUUUUUGUGUGGCUAGAUACUUGGCAAGAUUCAGGUCUCAGCUCAAAGCUCACUCCCUCAAAUGGCUUUUGCUACCCUACUCUCUGAACCCUUGUGUCAUCCCCUCACUGCUGUGUCACCAUGGUUUAUUUUCAUUAUAGCACCCAUCCUCAUCUGAUACUUAGUUUGUUUUUUGUCUUUCCCCUUCAACUAGGAUUUAAAUUCCAAGAAAGCAAAGACUUUGUUGGUCUUGUUUAUACCAGUAUAUAGAAACAUUAAAAAAAAUUGUUGAAUGAAUAAACAUUAAUUUUUACAGGGAAGAUUUUGACUCUAGCAAGUAAGGAAACAUAAUGAAAUCAUACUGCUUCUGUUGAUUCCCUUUAAACAGAACAUCCUAUUAAAGAUCAUUUAACUUAUUUAAAAGUACUUAUUCCUCAACUGUUUUCUUUUGAUAUGUUGGGAAUUAUCCUAUUGAUCCAAACUUACAAAAUAUAGUUCUGAAGACUUUUAUGUAUUCAGAGAUAUAGAGAAAAGAUUCAAGAGAUUUGGCUUUGAGUUUCUCUCUAUAUAUACAACACACACACACACACACACACACACACACACACACACACACACAAGUACUGUUUUCCAGUGUAGAAAAAAAGGAGUGAGUGAAACCAACCACUUUCUAAUUUGGUUUAAUGUUUUCAAAUAUCUUGAUCUAAAUUUCAAGCUGGAGAAUACAUAAAUGCAUGUACAUACAAAUGCAUAUAUACAUUUAUGGUUAUGUAUUUAUAUAUAUAAGUGUGUACAUAUAUAUAUAUAUAGUUUGUUCAUGACAUGUUAAUAAAGAAUUAUUAGAUGGUACAGUACCAACAGAGUACAAUGUGCAUUUAUGAUUCUUAUUAACAUGAAAAACUUGUGAGAAACAGAGUAAAAUUCAGCAACAAAAAGUACAGAGCAGUAUGUUUUAGAAUAAAAUGAAUUAUUAUUAUUUUUACCCAUUUAAUUACCUAAAGUCAUUCUAAAAUAUUUUAUGCUGGGUUUAUAUAUUAUGGUAGGUAGUUGCAUGUAUAAUGUGGUUUUGGUUUAGUUUUUUUUUUUUUUUUUUUUUUUUUACUAGGACCACAGCAUACAGAGCUUUCCUUACUGUAUCUCCCCAUCCUAAUAUGUCUCUAUACCACAUGCCAUACUAUCUGAAGUUGCACCAUUGCAGAGUCAUUAUAUUGGGCUUAAGUCUUAUUAUUCCGGGUCCUUCUUUGAGACAUCACUACUUUUUUUUUCCCCAAGUAGUUUGUCAGAGCUCUGGGAUCCUGAUCUCAAACUGUAAGGAUGGUAGAAAGAGAGACACAGCUGGAUGGUACUGGAAUGACAGACGUUGCCAGGGAGAUGGGUCACAUAUGGAAGUGUGAGCACCCGCUGCUGGGAGGGUGUGCAGCAGUCAGUAAAAGCAGAGUGUGGCAAAGAUCGGCCAGCAGCUGCUGAAGACAAAUCCACCUGCUUCAGGCAGGCCCUGUCAUCACACUUCUUUUGGUGCUAAGCCCAGAUCUAUAGGGACUGAUUAAUGCUGAGUACCUUCUGGUUUGUACAUUUUAUGAUCCUACUCGUUCCCUACUAUCACAUUCCCUCUCUUAACUAUAGUCCCACACUGGUGACCCAUUGUCAUCUUAUCUCCUGUGAUUCCUGAUCCUUUUCCUCCAUACUCAUACAUCUGGCUCUAUCCUAUCUCGUAAUUAGGUAACCUUUUUAUCUGGGGCACCAGAAUUUCUUUUCUUUUAUAUUUCUUAAAAUGAAAAGACCUGAAUAUAUGAUUCUGUCAGUAUGAGCUCUGCUUAUAAUAAAUUGAACUGCCAACCUGAAUGAAACCUACAUCCAUAUAAGAACUUAAAGAUCAGAGUUUGAAAGUAGGCAGUAAUAUAUUCAGCCAGCUUUUGAGUACUUGGGAUUGGCAUCAGGAACAAAGGAGAUUACAGAAAAAAACAAUGCAUCCAGGAAUAAACAGUGAGAAGCCGCAGGCAGAGUAUGUAAAGUAUAUGAUAAGAGAAACCCAAGCAGGUGGUGAAUGAAGGAAGGACAAAAGACCCUGCCCACCUUCAUCCAUCUCCCAUUAAAUAAAACA
rnacentral:lncRNA from 1 species